UCAAUUAUCAACUGUUUCUUACGGUGAAGAAAAACCUGCAGUGUUAGGUCAUGACGAAGCAGCUUAUGCUAAAAACCGUCGUGCAGUGUUAGCAUACUAAUUUUUGAAUAAUUUAACUUAUAUUCAUUAUUAGUUCUAAAACAGGAGUUAUUUAUAG
rnacentral:sRNA from 1 species